rnacentral:rRNA from 1 species
CAGCAGUCGCCGCGGGAAUACGGAGGGUGCAAGCGUUAAUCGGAAUUACUGGGCGUAAAGCGCACGCAGGCGGUCUGUCAAGUCAGAUGUGAAAUCCCCGGGCUUAACCUGGGAACUGCAUUUGAAACUGGCAGGCUAGAGUCUUGUAGAGGGGGGUAGAAUUCCAGGUGUAGCGGUGAAAUGCGUAGAGAUCUGGAGGAAUACCGGUGGCGAAGGCGGCCCCCUGGACAAAGACUGACGCUCAGGUGCGAAAGCGUGGGGAGCAAACAGGAUUAGAUACCCGCGUAGUCCCUGUCUCUUAUAC